rnacentral:lncRNA from 1 species
AUGGAGUAUGGAGGAUUGGUAUUUUGGCGCUCAUACUGGAUGGGAUAUAAGGUCGGCCUGUUUCACCCUCAUAUCGGACGAGGUAUUGAGGGAUAUUAUUUUUUGCACUCAUAUCAGACGGGGUAUUAAUGGAUAUUAUUUUUUGCGCUCAUAUCAGACGGGGUAUGAGGACGGUCAAUUAACUGAAAAUGUUGAAUAAGGGUUCAUGCGUAGU